UCUUAUCCUGCUGGAGCUGAGGAUAAGGGUAAGAACUCCUCUCUUUCUUUCUCUAAGUUUUCUUUCCUUCUAUGAAUGAGAAUUGAUGGAUUUGAGGUUUUCUCUCUUUUCCCUCCUAUGGUUGAUGGUUGGGAGACCUAUGGAGCAGCUUUGGAGCUGUGAAUAGAAGUGUUUGAUAGUGUUCCUUCAGACCUCACGCAGGGGAGAAUGGAGUUGGUGUUUUGGAAAGUUUUGGGGUGUUUAUUCACAGCAGGAGAUGUGAACUUGGUAUUGAGCUUUGAGCAACUUGUGAGGCUAGUUUGCUAUGGUUCUUCGAUUUGGGACCUGGGGAAAAGCUUAACUUAAGCUAUGAGAAGGUUUAGAGACUCUUUUGAGCUGAAUAUGGUGAUCUUGUGAGCUGGUUUUGAGAGUAUCUCAACCAAUAGGAAGUGGAAUUUCAGCAGGUUCACAGCUGGUAGAGGACCCUUUCGGGUGAGAUUUUGGUACUGGUUUAAGGUUGGAUUUUGGUGUAAUCUAACCUAAAGUAAAGUGGAAAUUAACCAUGGAUCAAUAUUAGGAUACUUGGAGUCUUCAGAUGACCCUCGAGUGUGGGAUCGACAAGAAUUGACGACAUUAGAGCCUUCCACAGCGGAAAAGGCUAGGGAAUCUUGGCGAGGGGUCAGCGGUUAAAUAGAGCCUUCUCAAUGUUAAAUAGAUGAACCUCUACUGGUUUACUUUGGGUUUAGCUCAAUGUUGUAUUCUGGAUUUAUGUAGAAUAUACUUUACUUUUAAGUUGUAAUAAGCUCUUAGGUUGUAUAAGUUUACUAUACUUUUUAAGUGGUGCUCUGAUUACCUGGUUAGAAUCGAAUACUUUCACU